rnacentral:rRNA from 1 species
UACGGAGGGGGCUAGCGUUGUUCGGAAUUACUGGGCGUAAAGGGCGCGUAGGCGGCGCGGUAAGUCACUUGUGAAAUCUCUGAGCUUAACUCAGAACGGCCAAGUGAUACUGCAGUGCUAGGGUGUGGAAGGGGCAAUCGGAAUUCUUGGUGUAGCGGUGAAAUGCGUAGAUAUCAAGAGGAACACCUGAGGUGAAGACGGGUUGCUGGGCCAACACUGACGCUGAGGAGCGAAAGCAUGGGGAGCGAACAGG